rnacentral:rRNA from 1 species
CAGUCGCCGCGGUAACACGUAGGGUGCAAGCGUUAAUCGGAAUUACUGGGCGUAAAGCGUGCGCAGGCGGUUAUGCAAGACAGAUGUGAAAUCCCCGGGCUCAACCUGGGAACUGCAUUUGUGACUGCAUGACUAGAGUACGGCAGAGGGGGAUGGAAUUCCGCGUGUAGCAGUGAAAUGCGUAGAUACGCGGAGGAACACCGAUGGCGAAGGCAAUCCCCUGGGCCUGUACUGACGCUCAUGCACGAAAGCGUGGGGAGCAAACAGGAUUAGAUACCCCAGUAGUCCCUGUCUCUUAUAA